CUGUAGUCUUGGUUAUUUUGAUUACUGCAUUCUCAAUGUUCCUUUCCCUUUAUUGAUUCUUGGGAUUUCACAAAUCUUGGCUGAAAAUAUCUCAGCUGAUCUACGGGAAAAGUUCCUGCUCACAUGGAUAUCACUCCCAGAGGUGGCCAUGGGAGUGAUGGAGAAAACCAGAGGGAGAGACUUCCAAGGCAGAGAUGUGAACAAAUCCCAUAGGUAAAGCUAGUCCCUAAAUGGAGGCAUUUCAUUGCUAUGAAGGCACAAUAGUAGCACCUGGAGAACUAUCACAGCGAAACCACUGCCGAUGCUGGGCAUUGCACUGACCUGCUAUUUGAAACGGUAGGUGACCCAGAGAAUACACAUGAGGAAAAACAAGAGAACAAUGUGGCCUUGCUCGUUAAGGUUAGAAUCCUGUGUUAUGUGUCCUUGAUU